rnacentral:tRNA from 1 species
GGUUCAAAGAGUAGUGGUUAGCAUGUCUGCUUUACAUGCAGAAGGUCCUGGGUUCGAGCCCCAGCGGAGCCA